rnacentral:rRNA from 1 species
UACGGAGGGUGCAAGCGUUGUUCGGAUUUACUGGGCGUAAAGCGCGUGUAGGCGGGUCGUUAAGUCAGAUGUGAAAUCCCCGGGCUCAACCCGGGAACUGCAUUUGAAACUGGCGAUCUUGAGUACGGGAGAGGGAAGCGGAAUUCCUAGUGUAGAGGUGAAAUUCGUAGAUACUAGGAGGAACACCGGUGGCGAAGGCGGCUUCCUGGACCGAUACUGACGCUGAGACGCGAAAGCGUGGGUAGCAAAC